rnacentral:piRNA from 1 species
UGGCCUAGCAUGUUCAUCUCCUUGCGUGU